CUUCUAAACUCUGAUUAAGUCAGGAGAGCUUCUUUUUUAUUGUCCCUUCCCACUUUUACUGGCUGUAUCCCUUAUUCCAUUUUCAUUGUCCCCUUCUGGAAAGCAGGAAAACAGUGCUUCUUUGUUGGUGCUCAGGGAGACCAGGUUUAAUUAAAGUCUGAAAAGCACAUUUGGAAAUGAGGAAUGUUAAGCCAGAAAUAAUUUGUGAAGUGUUUUACCCCAAUCUGCCUAUCACCAGUAAUUGAAAGAGAAGAAAAAAGUAAAAAAAUUAAGGUAAAGAAAUUAGGAAAAUAUGAAACCUAAGUCAGUUAUCAACCCUAAUCAGGAAGAGGAUUCACUGGACACCACUUGGUGGGAAGGAAGGAAAAGGACUGAAGAAAACAGACAGUGAGACUGAUCCAAAAACUCCCAUGUAUAUACAAACACAUGAAAAAUGUCACCAAAAUGUUCAUGGCAGUUACGUUACAGUUGCAUCAGGGAUGGGCUUUCAGUGCAUGACAUCUACAAGUGUACAAGAUGGUACUGGAUCCAGUGAGGAAGACAAAAAGUCUGGCAGGAAUGUGAGAGAGACUGGGAAGAAUUGGCUCAAUAUGAUGAUGGAGUUCAGAGAGCUAAAUGAAGUUCUGAGAAGUCACUGUUUAAAAUGGCUUAGCCAUGUGGAGGUGGAGCCCAGCAAAGAUGACUUCCACCCUACAAAGAGGUUAAGAAUCCUGUUUCAAAUGCUGGAUGGAUCCCCAUGAAUCUGUCACUUUAAGAAGGGAGAUUGCCCAGUGAAAGCAAUGGAAAGAAAAACAGUAUUAAAGGUGAGUAGAUUGGGAGAUAUCACCAGAUUUUCCUGUUCUCUU
rnacentral:lncRNA from 1 species